rnacentral:lncRNA from 1 species
UGUGUGUGAGAGAGAGAGAGAGAGAGAGAAAGAAAGAAAGCGGGACUAUGUGUGACUAUCUGUUUAAUAUCCAAUGUAUAGGGCACUCACUGUGUGUUACCGCUGGGUUUGGACUGUGUGCGUCGUCUCCACCGUGCCGAAAUCUUCCCCAUCAUCAUCUGCAUCAUGUCUACAGAGAGGAGUCUCCGCAGAUUGAGACACAAACUACGGCAGAAUGUUUUGACUGAGUCCCAGGUGCUGGAGUGUUCCUGCAGCGAGGAGCCCCUUCUGGAUAAACUGCCCUGCCUUUACCAGAGCAUUCCACCAGAGAGCUGGCAUGACAGUGCCACCCUAAUUGACACUCUGAAAACGGUGGUGUCAGAGGAGCAGCAAAAGAUUGUGUGGGUUGAGUCAGAUACCUGGUGAAAGAAUAAUGGGAAUGAGAGCGUAAAUUCAAAAUCCCCUCACCACAAUUAGAGUAUUAAGGCCAAUUUAUACUUUGUCGAACGUACAUUGUAGACACGGUUUAGUUAUGCAGUUUAUGGUGUAGCCUGAUGUACACCUCUCCAGAAAUGCUAUGAUAGGUCUUCUUUAUAACCAAAGACCUUCUCCCAGGAUGAUUUAAAAAAAAUCUGCAGUAGUUUCACAUCCACUGGGAAUGAAUAAUAGAUCCUGAUUGCUUGAAGCUUCUGAUGAAAGCAGUGAGGCUGAUUACACAAACAGCAGGCUGGACAGAGAUGAUCAUAAACCAUAAAUUAAUGUAAUGAUCCAAAACUUCCAUAUUCACACACCAUUGUUUGCCUAUACAACAAUAUUGAUCAUAACAUGAUUAAAAGAGAAUUCCACUAAACAUUUAUAUACCGUUGCACAGAGGUCCAAAGAGGAAAUAUAAUGGGCCUUUUAGAUAAAGGUAAACUGAAAAGCACAUUCUGUGCAUUUAAAGCAAAAAAAAAAAAAAAAAAAAAAAAAAAACACCAAAAAUGAACUAUUGAUUACAAACCAGCUCUGUUUUGAGCAACUAUGUAAACAGUU